CUGGCUGUGUGCCUAAUACAUGCAUGUCGAGCGGAGUUCUUCGGAACUUAGCGGCGAAUGGGUGAGUAACACGUGCCUAAUCUGCCUCUUAGAUUGGGAUAACAAGCGGAAACGCUUGCUAAUACCGGAUAGGUGAGAGAGUCGCAUGACACUCUCAUGAAAGGAGCUUCACAGCUUCACUAAGAGAUGAGGGCGCGGAACAUUAGUUAGUUGGUAGGGUAAUGGCCUACCAAGACGAUGAUGUUUAGCCGGGUCGAGAGACUGAACGGCCACACUGGGACUGAGAUACGGCCCAGACUCCUACGGGAGGCAGCAGUAGGGAAUAUUCCACAAUGGGCGAAAGCCUGAUGGAGCGACACAGCGUGCACGAUGAAGGCCUUCGGGUUGUAAAGUGCUGUUAUAGGGGAAGAAAAAGUAGUGUAGGAAAUGACACUACCUUGACGGUACCCUGUCAGAAAGCGAUGGCUAACUAUGUGCCAGCAGCCGCGGUAAUACAUAGGUCGCAAGCGUUAUCCGGAAUUAUUGGGCGUAAAGCGUUCGUAGGCUGUUUGUUAAGUCUGGUGUUAAAGCCCGGGGCUCAACCCCGGUACGCAUCGGAUACUGGCAGACUAGAGUGAGAUAGAGGUAAGCGGAAUUCCAUGUGAAGCGGUGAAAUGCGUAGAUAUAUGGAAGAACACCAAAGGCGAAGGCAGCUUACUGGGUCUAUACUGACGCUGAGGGACGAAAGCGUGGGGAGCAAACAGGAUUAGAUACCCUGGUAGUCCACGCCGUAAACGAUGAUCAUUAGUCGGUGGAAAAUUCACUGACGCAGCUAACGCAUUAAAUGAUCCGCCUGAGUAGUAUGCUCGCAAGAGUGAAACUUAAAGGAAUUGACGGGGACUCGCACAAGCGGUGGAGCAUGUGGUUUAAUUUGAAGAUACGCGGAGAACCUUACCCACUCUUGACAUCUUCCGCAAAGUCAUGGAGACAUGAUGGAGGUUAACGGAAUGACAGAUGGUGCAUGGUUUGUCGUCAGCUCGUGUCGUGAGAUGUUCGGUUAAGUCCGAUAACGAGCGCAACCCCUAUUUACAGUUACUAACAGGUGAUGCUGAGCACUCUGGAAAUACUGCCUGGGUAACCAGGAGGAAGGUGGGGAUGACGUCAAAUCAUCAUGCCUCUUACGAGUGGGGCGACACACGUGCUACAAUGGUCGGUACAAAGAGACGCAAUACGGUGACGUGGAGCAAAUCUCAAAAAGCCGAUCUCAGUUCGGAUUGAAGUCUGCAACUCGACUUCAUGAAGUCGGAAUCGCUAGUAAUCGCAGAUCAGCCAUGCUGCGGUGAAUACGUUCUCGAGUCUUGUACACACCGCCCGUCACACCAUGGGAGCUGGUAAUGCCCGAAGCCGGUUAGUUAACUUCGGAGACGACUGUCUAAGGUAGGACUGGUGACUGGGGUGAAGUCGUAACAAGGUAUCCGUACGAGAAC
rnacentral:rRNA from 1 species